AUCUUAAACAAAUAAUAAAUCGUAAAGAUGAUUCCAGUGAAUGUUAGAGCUUAUUAAUGAUGAUUGAUUACAUACAUUUGUAAUUUGUGCGAUUUGUACAAGAUAUAUAUACUUAAACCAAACGUUUUGUAAUCUUUUCAAAUUUUUUCAGAUGCUAUCGAUAUAAUCAAGACAGUUGAAUCUCAUUACAGUAUUGAUGAAAUUUCAAAAUGUUUUAUAAAAAAUUUCUUUAAUGAGCUACUGUUUUAAUCUUAUCGUGUAAAACAAAAUUGUUUACAUAAUUAUUACAAUAAUUGCCGGGUUUUUUUCUUGUCUGUAUAUAUUUCCCGUUGUACGCUGUCCAUAGACGUACAUUGACGUGUGAGAAACUUAUUAGCGUCUAAACGUAAAAUCUGUUUUCGCUUCAGGUGUUUUUUGUAAAAUGAAAGUUGUACACGUAACGUCAUUUAACGAAAGAGAAUAAAAAUAAAUGUAUUCUAUAUACCGCCGUUCAUUCAUUGUAGCUGGAAGUAAUUGAGCGGAUUCAAUAUUAGCCUGGUCUGGUUAAGAAUAGCCACGAUGGGAAUCCCGUUUGACCACCUUGCGUGCCAGUUGCUUACUGACUAAAUUAGGGUGAAUGUUCCGUUGUGUAAAACUUAUCGUUAUUAUUUCUUUUAUCAAAUAACAAUAUUAAAUUGUCCGAUUUUAUUGUAUUGGUAAUAGAGCUGUAUUAAUAACGUGAACGUGAAAUAUAACCUAAUAAAGUAAUAAAAUUGCAAUCUAUAAAUA